GCUUGGGUAGCUCAGUUGGUAGAGCGUUGCCCGCGGAAGGCAAAGGUCCCGAGUUCGAGUUUCGGUCCCGAACA